UGUUACAAUGGCAGGUACAGAGGGGUGCUACCGGGUGACCGGAUGCCGAUCUCGAAAACCUGUCCCAGUUCGGACUGGAGUCUGCAACCCGACCCCACGAAGUUGGAUUCGCUAGUAAUCGCGCAUCAGCCAUGGCGCGGUGAAUACGUUCCCGGGCCUUGUACACACCGCCCGUCAAGCCAUGGGAGCCGGGGGCGCCUGAAGUCCGGGACCGCGAGGACCGGCCUAGGGCGAAACUGGUGACUGGGGCUAAGUCGUAACAAGGUAUC
rnacentral:rRNA from 1 species